UUUAAACCUGAUUGGUUGGUGCUUGGGAUACGUCACGUCCGACUCCGACGCACUGGUUUGGGUGUCUGUAGCCGCGGCUACAGUGCAUCGUGUGGCGGUGGCUUUUCCCUUGGCUGUGGUGGCUGGAUGACUGUUCAAUUGCAGGAACUGAGGUUUCCCCCGGUGGAUGACGGGUCACUUUCCACUGGUGGUGGUGUUUCUCUACCCUGUGCUGUGGGACACUGAGUGCGUGAUAGCGUGAUUUUUGAGUGCACUUUGGUGUGUGCGUGUGCUGGGGUAAAGUCUGUCCACUCGUACCCAGUCAGUGGGAACCUCCAAUCCUGGUUUGGUUUUGUUUAUUUAUUGUUUCUUGUGUUUAAUAAUGAAGUGGGAGUUUUUGAUGUGUUUUUAAGGACCGUACAAUUUGACAGUUUUAUUCCAAAUAAAUAUUUUUGUACUUUUGCAUUACCUCACGUCUCUGUGCCUUUCUGGGAGAAACGAACCUGUGUCCUUUUCUAAUAGUUGUUUCCCUGGGUAACUCCCGGGGUGGCGUAGUCGGUUAUUUUUAUUUAAAGAGAUUUAAA